GUUUUCGAACACACCACUCAUCAUCUUGCCUCUGGGAAUCCCGGCACACCUUUUAGACAUGCUCGAACAGAGAGGCUGCCAAACCAGCGUAUGGUCACACAGCAGAGCCAGUGAGAUGACGCCGCACCUGCUACGGAGUCUGACACACCUGAGCUUGAUCCUUGGGACCCACGACCUGGAAGGAGAGAACCAACACGCAUGCACGCGAAGGAAAGAACUAAAGUAAAUUAAGUUCAGCCUCAGAGAAGGAGGCUAGCCAGUGGAGGUAAUGUGACAUGGAGCCAAUUUCUCAAGUGUUAAGAAAAAAACCGAAUGUCUUCCUUCUCCAGGGUGGAUCUGGGGGUGCUGUGGAUUAAACCACUUUACUAAGUGGGCAGAAGCCCAGGAGUUACUGCUGAUCCUGAACCCAGUCCUAGCCCAUUGGUCCUACAAAGACAUGAUCUGGGUACACUCGGACUCUGUGACUGUGGGCAGCUGGCCGGGCCAGCUGUGGGGAUGCUGGGCUGUUAGGUCAGUAUAGCCCAGGGAGGCAGAGGACAUGCAGCAGACGAUUCUCCUUCCUAGCAUGGCUCUCACACACCCGAGCAGUGUGCUGCCCCACAUAAUUACAUAAACUUCGCGUCCCUCAAGAUGCUCAUCUGGCCUCUGACACAUUUCUGGCUCGGAGCCAUCGUCCCCACCUCCCCACGGCACAGGGGCCUGGCCUGUGACUCACCUGACUCCACCUUCCUCACAUGAGAUUUCUCCUCGAGCAGAGGGAAUCAGCCAUUGCUGGGCCUGAGGAAUUGCUCAUGUGGGGGACCCCCUCACACACACCCUGGGGCUUGGAUGCUUCCCCCAAAGCCUCAGAUUCAGUCCCCCGUGCAACUGCAUGUGGUGUGCUCCUGCCCCCACGCCAGCACCCACACAGUGACACUCUCCCCGGGCUGCUCUGGGACUCGCCCACACCUGGAGCUUGUCCCCUGUCCUUUCUGCUGCCCUGUGCUGACAGCCGGGCUGUCCUGGGUGUGGAGGAGCUAAGGAUGUCAGGCCUGCAGUCCCACUCAAUACCUGCUGUCAUCCCUACACCGGGCAAGUGGAAUCCAGUCGCUUCCUGUGCUUGACAGUGAGGCCCAAGAGCUGCCUUCCUGCCUUGUCUGAGGAGUUUGCUCAUUAACUGAAACUGCUCUCAUGGUGACAUUCCUGGCAGUGACAGGGAAAGAGGAGGGUAGAUUUCCAAAGUUCUUUCUUGUUAGCUCCCUCCGUUCUAGGGAAGUUUGGUUAAGAACUCCUUUUAUCUGCUAUGUGCCUAUUCUCCAGGACCCCAAGAGCUUCCCUGGUUGUCUGAGGACCAGCCUGACCAACUCUUCCACAGGGUGAGAGACAUUCUGCAUCACUCUUCCUGGCUCAGGAUCAUUUAGGGGAGAACAGAGGGAGGGAGACAGUAGGAAUGGUCCCCACACCCCUCACACACAGUGUAUGGCUCCUGCUCUCCUCCCAGUGAUGAAGGGAAUUCAAAGCCUCCCAACUCUUUCAGGGAACAGCUUUCUGAAUGAAAAGGUAUGUAUUUACCUUUU
rnacentral:lncRNA from 1 species